AUUGAACGCUGGCGGCAGGCCUAACACAUGCAAGUCGAGCGAGCGGCGGACGGGUGAGUAAUGUCUGGGAAACUGCCCGAUGGAGGGGGAUAACUACUGGAAACGGUGGCUAAUACCGCAUACUAUCGGAUGAACCCAUAUGGGAUUAGCUAGUAGGUGGGGUAAUGGCUCACCUAGGCGACGAUCCCUAGCUGGUCUGAGAGGAUGAUCAGCCACACUGGAACUGAGACACGGUCCAGACUCCUACGGGAGGCAGCAGUGGGGAAUAUUGCACAAUGGGCGCAAGCCUGAUGCAGCCAUGCCGCGUGUAUGAAGAAGGCCUUAGGGUUGUAAAGCACUUUCAGCGAGGAGGCGUUACUCGCAGAAGAAGCACCGGCUAACUCCGUGCCAGCAGCCGCGGUAAUAC
rnacentral:rRNA from 1 species